CCUUGUCUGGAUCGGGUUUCGCGGCAAACGGGCUGUACUGAUUCGUGAAAAAUCAGUUCGUUGUCGACGAAACCUGCACACUGCAAGG
rfam:Culex pipiens quinquefasciatus supercont3.431 genomic scaffold, whole genome shotgun sequence.